GUCACAGUUCUACGUUGCACCACACCACUUCGUUCUUCUUAGUACCUGUAUUGUUACAGUGGUACAGUGUAAAUGCAGUGGUGGUAAUUUUAAUCCCGUAAUGACGAUAGACGCACAGCUGGUGAUGAUGAUGGUCGUACAGGUGGCGCUUGUUGUCCAGUUGGUGACUUCUCCCCAGAUGGUGACAGCUAUAGUUACGGGACCCAAACUACCCGCCCGGAGCACCAUCUCACCUGCUGAGAUGGAGAAAUGCAACGUGUUUCUCAAGGCAGCUUCCUCAUUUUACUUACACUCCUUAAAUCUCUCCUCACUCUCCCUCACUCCACCUACAUCUCCUCCCUCACUCUCCCUCACUGCACCUACUCCUCCCUCACUCUUCCUCACUGCACCUACACCUCCUUCCUCACUCUCCCUCACUCCAUCCACACUCACAGAACUUGCACAGAACAUUACCGUGAAAAUUGUUACAAGAACUAAGAACUACGAUGUAACAACCAACACAUCUUCACUACCACUAUUACCCACCACAAUCACUACAUCGUCGCUACCAACACCACCACCUACCACAACCAACACAUCUUCACUAC